CGAGCGAAGCGGGAAGAGCUCAAAUUUAUAAUCUGGCACCUUCGGUGUCCGAGUUGUAAUCUCUAGAAAUGUUUUCCGCGUUGGACCGCACACAAGUCUGUUGGAAUACAGCGGCAUAGUGGUGAGACCCCCGUAUAUGGUGCGGACGCCCAGCGCUUUGUGAUACAUUUUCGAAGAGUCGAGUUGUUUGGGAAUGCAGCUCAAAUUGGGUGGUAAAUUCCAUCUAAAGCUAAAUAUUGGCGAGAGACCGAUAGCGAACAAGUACCGUGAGGGAAAGAUGAAAAGCACUUUGGAAAGAGAGUUAACAGUACGUGAAAUUGUUGGAAGGGAAACGCUUGAAGUCAGACUUGCUUGCCGAGCAAUCGGUUUGCAGGCCAGCAUCAGUUUUCCGGGAUGGAUAAUGGUAGAGAGAAGGUAGCAGUUUCGGCUGUGUUAUAGCUCUCUGCUGGAUACAUCUUGGGGGACUGAGGAACGCAGUGUGCCUUUGGCGGGGGUUUCGACCUCUUCACACUUAGGAUGCUGGUGGAAUGGCUUUAAACGACCCGUCUUGA
rnacentral:rRNA from 1 species